rnacentral:rRNA from 1 species
GGAGUUAGCCGAUGCUUAUUCCUCAGGUACCGUCAAAAUUCUUCCCUGAGAAAAGAGGUUUACAAUCCAAGAACCUUCCUCCCUCACGCGGUAUUGCUCCGUCAGGCUUUCGCCCAUUGCGGAAAAAUUCCCC